CGCUAAGCUGCAACUCCUAACCAUUGUGACGUUACCUAUACCGUUGCUUCGGCGGGCGGCCCCGGGGUUUACCCCCCGGGCGCCCCUGGGCCCCACCGCGGGCGCCCGCCGGAGGUCACCAAACUCUUGAUAAUUUAUGGCCUCUCUGAGUCUUCUGUACUGAAUAAGUCAAAACUUUCAACAACGGAUCUCUUGGUUCUGGCAUCGAUGAAGAACGCAGCGAAAUGCGAUAAGUAAUGUGAAUUGCAGAAUUCAGUGAAUCAUCGAAUCUUUGAACGCACAUUGCGCCCGCCAGCAUUCUGGCGGGCAUGCCUGUUCGAGCGUCAUUUCAACCAUCAAGCCCCCGGGCUUGUGUUGGGGACCUGCGGCUGCCGCAGGCCCUGAAAAGCAGUGGCGGGCUCGCUGUCGCACCGAGCGUAGUAGCAUACAUCUCGCUCUGGUCGCGCCGCGGGUUCCGGCCGUUAAACCACCUUUUAACCCAAGGUUGACCUCGGAUCAGGUAGGAAGACCCGCUGAACUUAAGCAUAUCAAUAAGACGGAGGAA
rnacentral:rRNA from 1 species